GUUUUAACUAAAUUAAAAUUGCCAGUACAAACCACUUUGGAUAUACCCAAACGUAGGAGGGAAGAAAAUGAUCUUGAUACACUCAUUUAUAUACCCAAAGACCAUAUAAAAUCACUACCUAGUACAAAUUUAGAUAUAUCAAGUAUUACAUUUAAUAAAAAUGAUGAUAGUCAACAAAAUGAACACACCAAAUCAC